rnacentral:rRNA from 1 species
CCUAUCUGCCGUGGGCGCUGGAGAAUUGAGGGGGGCUGCUCCUAGUACGAGAGGACCGGAGUGGACGCAUCACUGGUGUUCGGGUUGUCAUGCCAAUGGCACUGCCCGGUAGCUAAAUGCGGAAGAGAUAAGUGCUGAAAGCAUCUAAGCACGAAACUUGCCCCGAGAUGAGUUCUCCCUGAGACUUUAAGUCUCCUGAAGGAACGUUAAAGACGAUGACGUUGAUAGGCCGGGUGUGUAAGCGCAGCGAUGCGUUGAGCUAACCGGUACUAAUGAACCGUGAGGCUUAACCUU